AGAGCGAACGCUGGCGGCAGGCCUAAUACAUGCAAGUCGAACGGAUCCUUCGGGAUUAGUGGCGGACGGGUGAGUAACACGUGGGAACGUGCCCUUUGGUUCGGAACAACUCAGGGAAACUUGAGCUAAUACCGGAUGUGCCCUUCGGGGGAAAGAUUUAUCGCCAUUGGAGCGGCCCGCGUCUGAUUAGCUAGUUGGUGGGGUAAAGGCCCACCAAGGCGACGAUCAGUAGCUGGUCUGAGAGGAUGAUCAGCCACACUGGGACUGAGACACGGCCCAGACUCCUACGGGAGGCAGCAGUAGGGAAUCUUGCGCAAUGGGCGAAAGCCUGACGCAGCCAUGCCGCGUGAAUGAUGAAGGUCUUAGGAUUGUAAAAUUCUUUCAGCGGGGACGAUAAUGACGGUACCCGCAGAAGAAGCUCCGGCUAACUUCGUGCCAGCAGCCGC
rnacentral:rRNA from 1 species